UUUUAGGCUUAGAAUCCUAGAGUAAUCCUUUAGUUUGAGGAGCUAAGUUUGUAUUGAUGUUCCAUUCCAUGACAAUGAAUUGUGUAUAGAGUUGUAAGACCAUAUCGUACUGCUUGUAAGUUGUUUCCAGCCGAAAUUUUUCUCAGGACAGCGGUUGUCUUCUAUUAGGAAGAUGCGGUAGAGAGGAUGUCGACCUUUUCAACAAACUCUGAAUGCGUCAUUGUGUUGCGAUUGCAUCCAACAUGAUCAUCUAUAAGACACUAGUGGGCGCCUUGUGGUAAGCAUGCGGCGCAAAAAGGGAUGAACCUAGCAGUGGGGUAAGGUGCCUAAAGGAAAACAAAGAGAAAAAGCGUUUGGCAGAUUAGGACAGUGGGGCGGUGGCCAUGGAGGUCGGCAUCCGCUAAGAAACGUGUUACAACGUACCCACUGAAUCUGCGAAUGCUGAAAAUGGAUGGCGCUUAUUUCCAUACCGAGCCCCACAUGGUACAGCCACGUAGGCCGGCACGUGUGCAUCUGAGAAGACCCGCCGUGAGGUGUGUUGGAGAUGUUCACGGAGCAGAUCUUGGAAGUAGUAGCAUCAUUUGUAUGUGCCAAUGGAGGCGGGUUUGUCCUUUUAAUAGAAGGAAGUGAUACGAGCCUAGUAAAAGGGAAUAUAGUAGAUAUUCUAUAUAGAUGUACCUAUGUGGCGACACGACAGCGACCCCAACGACGUGUGCCGGUGAGAAUUUUCCGGGACACCCAGAUCUUAUGAGCGUCACGCUGAGACUAAGAACGAGUUGGGCGGUGAAAAUGAAGGAACAUCCUCGUACCGAACCGCAACAGGACUCCUAGGGAGAAGCCUAAGGC
rnacentral:ncRNA from 1 species